rnacentral:rRNA from 1 species
GAUGAACGCUGGCGGCGUGCUUAACACAUGCAAGUCGAACGAUGAAGCCCAGCUUGCUGGGUGGAUUAGUGGCGAACGGGUGAGUAACACGUGAGCAACCUGCCCCUGACUCUGGGAUAAGCGCUGGAAACGGCGUCUAAUACUGGAUAUGUCCCGUCACCGCAUGGUGUGCGGGUGGAAAGAUUUUUCGGUUGGGGAUGGGCUCGCGGCCUAUCAGCUUGUUGGUGAGGUAAUGGCUCACCAAGGCGUCGACGGGUAGCCGGCCUGAGAGGGUGACCGGCCACACUGGGACUGAGACACGGCCCAGACUCCUACGGGAGGCAGCAGUGGGGAAUAUUGCACAAUGGGCGGAAGCCUGAUGCAGCAACGCCGCGUGAGGGAUGACGGCCUUCGGGUUGCAAACCUCUUUUAGCAGGGAAGAAGCGAAAGUGACGGUACCUGCAGAAAAAGCACCGGCUAACUACGUG